rnacentral:rRNA from 1 species
GAUGAACGCUGACAGAAUGCUUAACACAUGCAAGUCGAUGGGGAAGUGGUGCUUGCACCAUGGCAACCAUGGCGGACGGGUGAGUAACGCGUAAGGGACUUACCUGCAGGACUGGGAUAACAGGGGGAAACUCCUGACAAGACCGGAUAAUGUCAUGGAGCUGCAUGGCUUUAUGAUGAAAGGAGACGCCUGCGGAGAGCCUUGCGUCCUAUUAGCUAGUUGGUGAGGUAAUGGCUCACCAAGGCGAAGAUGGGUAGCCGGCCUGAGAGGGUGGACGGCCACAAGGGGACUGAGAUACGGCACUUACUCCUACGGGAGGCAGCAGUGGGGAAUAUUGGACAAUGGGGGCAACCCUGAUCCAGCAAUUCUGUGUGCACGAAGAAGGUUUUCGGAUUGUAAAGUGCUUUCAGCAGGGAAGAAGUAAGUGACGGUACCUGCAGAAGAAGCGACGGCUAAAUACGUG